CAAGUUGAGUGACACAGAGACCAGGUCAUUUUCAUUGCCUUAUUGUCACGCACUAUGGACCUUCUGAGGCAAGAAUUUGAAUGAUGGUUGCAGCGUAGAGGACUAGAAGAGCAUUUAUUCGUUGUAUUGCACCCGGCAGCUAGCCCUAUGUGCACGCAGCAUUGCCCAGAUCUUUCCCUCUCCCACUCCUAUAUAAACGUCUCUUCACUGUUUUCCCUUCCCACUUAGCUUCACAAAUCACAAACCUCUCUGCAUUUUGAUUUCUCUCUCAAAUUCUCUUCCUUUCAAGCUUCAAAAUGAGGGGAUCUCUCCUUCUUUCUGCUCGGUCUGUGUCGCCGCCGUUGUGCCUCUCCUCUUUGGCUAUGAACUCAAUAUCUGAAGGAGUGCCGUGGAGGCUUUGUCUUCCUUGCAAGUAGAGAUGAAUGCAAUCUGAUUUCUCCUUUGCAAUACGAACGGUUGAGUUUCUGUUUGUGCUAGCCUGCGAAUAAUGGAAAAUUCCUUGAAGAAAGAUUUACCUUGGUUACUGAUAUUAUUUUGAACCGUCAUGUCAAUUAUAGGUUAUGUAUCGACUGAAAGUGAAAGCUAUUUCACUAUUCUGUGCACACAAUUCUUGAAACACUAAUCAUGGUUUUUGAAAGUAUUGGAGCAUUGUACACAGAAUAGGUGAAAUAACUUUCAUUUUCAUUCGAUACGCAACUAAAAUUGUAAAUAUAGCUCAGUCUCAUCUUGGAAGCCAAGCUAAUGGAGACUGCUGCAAUACCUAUGUGACCUGUUCCGCUCUAUGAAAACCGACUGCUUCCAUUUGGGUCUUUCCCAAUUGACAACAUAGCUGGUGCAGGAUCUUCUGAGUUUUUCCAGGAAAUAAGCCGCUUCACUUGCCCAGUGUACUUGUUAAUUCCAUGCUUUCCACCAGGUAGCAUGUAUCAGUUGGAUUGUCAAAAAUCUGCCAAUAAAUGGCAGAUGGAUUUGAGCCAUCUCUUACGACAAUGUAUCUGCUGUACUAAUUCGGCAUUGAAGAUGCAAGAGAGCUGUUGACCAAACUGUCUCAGCUGUUAAAGAUUUAUAUACACGCAUUUCCACUUUAAAAAAACAGGUAAGUGACAUGUUUAAUUUUAAUUGAUAAGCUGAAUGUCAUUAUGAUAAAACUAUAUGAAUAUCAAGCUGCUACAGCGCAUAAAGCAAUCCUGUGCUUUUUUAUGCCAGCUUGGCUGUAAAUGAACAGGAAAUUACUUUUUGAAGUAGAUAGAUUUGUACUAUGAAUGCGUUUUUCUUCCUGUUUAUGGACGCACAGAUACAAGGGGCUUGUUUUGUAGGAUUGUGUGGAGAAAGAAGUCCAGUCCAUUUGUUGAAAAUCAGAUAGAAGGAAGGUAUGGUGUUAUACUGGAAGAGAAUUAAGCAUUUAUAUCAAUUAAAAGCAAUCACAGGAGGCCUUCAAUUGAAUUGCAGAGGUUGCCUUCUUUUUCUGUUACGCAUAGAACACAUCAAGUUCGCUUGCAUUGCCAGUAUCUUGGAAUUCCUACAAGAGAGGAUGUGAAACAUGAGGGUGUAUGCUAGUGGGAGGGAAGAACAUACGACAGCCAUGAGCUACAAGCAGAGAGCUUAUCUCUUGAUCAUCAUGCUACUGGUCAGCCGCUAAUGGUUCGAGCACCCCUGCCUCUGUGGGUCACAUAGAUGGCCUAGCCAUUGUAAACUUGCUUUCACAGUGUUGUAUGCCAUCUUCACACUUUAGCUCCAACAUCUUCUUCUGCCUUCAUAGGGCGGCAUAGUUAACAUCCGGAGCUCUCAUUGUAGAAUUAGCAAGCAUAUCAAGACCUUCUGGCCUGCUGUAUUAACUCUGUUACAUGUAACUGAAGAGUGUUUGGUUGUAAUAAAGUGUAGGAACUAGGGAGGGUCAAAAGAAAUCAAAGGUUUUGAACAUUUGAACCCGCUUGUGGUUUCUUAAUUAAGUAUUAGUCUUAAAUGCA